UACAGAGGUGGCAAGCGUUGUUCGGAUUUAUUGGGUGUAAAGGGCAGGUAGGCGGUCGUGUAAGUCUGGUGUGAAAUCCCAGGGCUCAACCCUGGAACUGCAUUGGAAACUACACAACUUGAGCCACGGAGGGGUGAGGGGAAUUCUCGGUGUAAGGGUGAAAUCUGUAGAUAUCGAGAGGAACACCAAUGGCGAAGGCACCUCACUGGCUGAUGGCUGACGCUCAACUGCGAAAGCCGGGGGAGCAAACAGG
rnacentral:rRNA from 1 species